rnacentral:misc_RNA from 1 species
CACCACUCAAGCCUCGCUUGGUAUUGGGCAACGCGGUCCGCCGCGUGCCUCAAAUCGACCGGCUGGGUCUUCUGUCCCCUAAGCGUUGUGGAAACUAUUCGCUAAAGGGUGCCGCGGGAGGCCACGCCGUAAAACAACCCCAUUUUCCAA